rnacentral:rRNA from 1 species
AACCGAGCGCAACCCCUAUUGUUAGUUGCCAUCAUUCAGUUGGGCGACUCUAGCGAGACUGCCGGUAAUAAACCGGAGAAGUGGGGAUGACGUCAAAUCAUCAUGCCCCUUAUGACCUGGGCUACACACGUGCUACAAUGGUUGGUACAACGAGUUGCGAGUCGGUGACGGCGAGCUAAUCUCUUAAAGCCAAUCUCAGUUCGGAUUGUAGGCUGCAACUCGCCUACAUGAAGUCGGAAUCGCUAGUAAUCGCGGAUCAGCACGCCGCGGUGAAUACGUUCCCGGGCCUU